UUUAUACGUCGAAUUUUGGUCGCGUCGAAUGCAAUUAAGACAAUAGAUAAUGAAGCUUAAUGAGGUUUAUCAUCUCAUUAUCUAUUGUUUGAAUUGCAUUCGACGCGACCGAAAUUCGACGUAUAAA